UGGCUUGUGCAGGAGGCUGCAGGGGGCUGACUUUCUAGAUAUCACUAUUGUCACUAGUUCAUGGCAAAGCUACGGCUAGAAACUACAUCUCUCAAUGGCCAUCAGGACACCAAAGAUAAUGAGCAGAGCAGACAAAUCAAUCUGACAGGUAAUUUACCAUUCCUUAUUGAAUUCACCAAGCGAACCACAGUGUAUUACGAACACGGGAGGUUAGAGAUGUCAAGGAGAAGACAGCAUUAGUGUAAUUGCUGAGCUCCACUUGUUGUGACUUCAUAGAAAAAAAUACACCCAAAACCCUCUGGUGCUGCUCUGGCGGCCUCUCGACAAUCCCACGGACUCGGGCGGAUUGGCAGAGUGAUGUCAGCUGUUACAGAUUCAUGUGGAGUCUUGCUAAGACUCUCACUCCCUUGUCCAUCAGUAGUUGCUCUCCUUCAUCAGCCAUUGGUCUCUAGUACACACAAGGGUAGGAUGAACUGAAUUUUUUCCCUUUCCUUACCAAAUGACAAGAUUCUCUCUCGGUAUGACAAGGUGACCAAUCUAGGCUUAAAUCUCAUGUUGAAAUCCUGGGUUGAAGCUCAAGAGCAAGUUUUAAUUCAUUGUAGUUAUUGUGGAGGAGCUCAAACUGUCCCACUUCUGUUUGGUGUCUUGGCACCCUUGACAAAGCCUCGUCACAUACAGUAGCUUCUUUCUGAAACCAGACCUUG
rnacentral:lncRNA from 1 species